UACGUAGGUGGCAAGCGUUGUCCGGAAUUAUUGGGCGUAAAGCGCGCGCAGGCGGUCCCUUAAGCCUGAUGUGAAAGCCCACGGCUCAACCGUGGAGGGUCAUUGGAAACUGGGGGACUUGAGUACAGAAGAGGAAAGCGGAAUUCCACGUGUAGCGGUGAAAUGCGUAGAGAUGUGGAGGAACACCAGUGGCGAAGGCGGCUUUCUGGUCUGUAACUGACGCUGAGGCGCGAAAGCGUGGGGAGCAAACAGG
rnacentral:rRNA from 1 species